rnacentral:rRNA from 1 species
AUGGGAACGCGAAGAACCUUACCUAGACUUGACAUCUCCUGAAUAGUGUAGAGAUACAUGAAGCCCUUCGGGGCGAGGAAGACAGGUGGUGCAUGGUUGUCGUCAGCUCGUGUCGUGAGAUGUUGGGUUAAGUCCCGCAACGAGCGCAACCCUUAUUACUAGUUGCUACCAUUAAGUUGAGCACUCUAGUGAGACUGCCCGGGUUAACCGGGAGGAAGGCGGGAUGACGUCAAAUCAUCAUGCCCCUUAUGUCUAGGGCAACACACGUGCUACAAUGGUGAGUACAGAUAGAUGCGAUACCGCAAGGUGGAGCCAAACUCUAAAACUCAUCCCAGUUCGGAUUGUAGGCUGUAACUCGCCUACAUGAAGUUGGAGUUGCUAGUAAUCGCGAAUCAGAAUGUCGCGGUGAAUACGUUCCCGGGUCUUGUACACACCG